GGACUCUGCUGAUAACGCAGAUUACCAGACAACUCGUCGAAUAGUCAGUGGCACCCAAGUUUCAGCUGUGAGCCAAUGGAGGAGCCAGUGGUAGCAGGACCUGGGGCCAGUCUGCUGGUUAACCGAGGAACGACUCUUAACAACACACUUUGGGAGGAAGUUACCAAGUCGUGCCGGGACAGACAUGGACGCUGGACCAACCCCUGGCCCACAUGGCAGUUCCCUUCCAAUGCCAGGCUGCUCAAGUUCCUGCUGUGGGACACAGACAACAGCAACGUGCCAACCAGCAAAGAGAUGGCCGAAACAAGUGGCUACACGACGGGGGGGAUGUCGCAGGACUCCACCCUCAUCCUGUCCAGAACUGAGGAGGCCCCCGCUCCCCAGCUGCGUCCCCAGCUGGCUCCGCAGCCCCCUCCUCAGCCUGCUCCCCCUCAACUACCCCCGGCUGAGGAGGGGGACGAGGAGGGAUAUUUGGGAGAUGAUGAGGGGGAUGAUUGAAUUAUUUUUUUAUGUUUGUUUUUGUAUAUAGUUGUGUGGUUUCGUUUAAAUAAUAAUAAAAUCGUUUUUAUUAUAAAAUUGGUGUGGAAGGUUUUCUCUUAAAUAAGGGUUAGUGUUAAGAUGGGAUAGCCACUCGGGUUAAGGUUAGGGAAUAAGGCUAAAGGUUAAGGUAAGGAUUUAGAUAAGUGGUAGGGAUAGCUACUCGGGUUAAGGUUAGGGAAUAAGGCUAAAGGUUAAGGUUAGGAUUUAGAUCAGUGGUGGGGAUAGCCACUCGGGUUAAGGUUAGGGAAUAAGGCUAAAGGUUAAGGUUAGGAUUAAGAUUAGGUUAAGGGUUAGGAUUAAGAUUAAGAUUAAGGGUAGGGUUAGGUUAAGAGCAUUUUACCACUUUUGAAAAACGUUUUUUUUUUAGCUUUUUUUUCAUACCUUCUUUUUUCUGGGCUCGGUCCGACCCUGAAUCUGCAAGAAUUAUGUUUCUAGCCCCUUCCUAGGCCGAGAAAAUAACUUAAAACCGAUCAAAAAUUUUCUUUUUUUUUUUUCUUUUUUUUUUCAUACCUUUUUUUUGCUGGGCUUGGUCCGACCCUGAAUCUGCAAGAAUUAUGUUUCUAGCCCCUUCCUAGGCCGAGAAAAUAGCUUAAAACCAAUUAGGGCUAGGGUUAGGGUAGGUUAAGAGCCAUCUACCACUUUUGAAAAACGGUUUUUUUGGGCUAGUUCGAGAACCGAGUGGAUCAUGGGAAUUCUUUUACCACCCACGGAUAGGUCUAGGACCAGCGGACUUGCUCAAAAAAUGUGGCGCCCCUGGUGUUUUUUUUGGGUACUGCAAUUUCAAUUUUUAAGUUUAAAAGUGAAGCGUUUUUCUUUCUUAUUGGAUCAUGGGAAUUCUGAAUAGUGCCAGUUGUAGCCCUUGGUCCCCUCUACAUCCCCUAGAAAUUUGGUGCAAUUUGGAGCCCCAAGUUUUAACAUUGGACGACUUUUAAAAUCGACCUCACGGGGGAAGGGGGUGGAUCAUGGGAUCGUGGUUGGGGUUGGGUGGUAGGAUUUUAUGAGGCCGACCUUUGUGCAAAAUUUUGGCCACCUGGUGGCUUGUUUUGGUAUAGAAAAUCCCAUUUUCAUUUUUUUUUUUUUUUUUUCUAAGUGUGGAGUCAACAAAAUUUGUUAGUGAAAAAAUAAGUUCCCACAGAAAGUGUCUAGGAGCACGUUUUAGGGUUAGGGUUAGGGUUAGGGUUAGGGUUAAGGUUUGAGGCCAAUUUAACAUGGAGUUUAAUACCCGAUUUGGAAAGUCAAGAUUCAGCUCGACUGACCCCCCUCCAAUUUGGACUUUUUGACAGAGUGUCACCAUUGAAGUAGUUUAAAGUCGGACCUUCGAAGUCUGAAGUUGGACCCUGGAUUUGGAUGUUGAAGUUGGAUGCUCGAAUUUGGAUGCUGAAUUUGGAUGUUGGAAAUUUGUACUCCCGUACUAAAGGGCGGCAGCACUGAGUCCAAAAAAUGUACGUCUGGAUUUGGAAGUGUAAUUCGAAAAACCUCUAGGGGCAGUAGUGCUCCAUGGUAAAACUAAACAUCAGUAAUUUGGAAGUUGAAAAUGUAUUCAAACACUAAGUCCACCGACAGCAAUCGGUUCAUGUCUACGAUUUGGAAGUUGGAAGUAGGUACAUUUCCUGAAGUUGGAAGUUGGAAGUAGGUUAAAAAUCAAUGUAUAAUCUAAGUCCACCAACAGCAAUUGGCUGAUGUCUACAAUUUGGAAGUUGGAAGUAGGUAAAUGUCCUGAAGUUGGAAGUUGGUUAAAAAUCAAUGCAUAGUCUAAGUUUUGUCAGAAUUUUUGUCAGA
ensembl:lncRNA